rnacentral:rRNA from 1 species
GUGCAGCAGUCGAGAAAACUUCACACUGUGCGAAAGCACGAUGAGGGAAUCCCAAGUGCUUGCACGUAAGUGUAAGCUGUUUCUCUGUCUAAAACGCAGAGAGAGUAAGGGCUGGGUAAGACGGGUGCCAGCCGCCGCGGUAAUACCUGCAGCUCAAGUGGUGACCGUUAUUAUUGGGCCUAAAACGUCCGUAGCCGGUUUAAUAAAUGCCUGGGUAAAUUGUGUAGCUUAACUAUACGAAUUCCGGGUAGACUGUUAAACUUGAGACCGGGAGAAGUUAGAGGUACUCCUGGGGUAGAGGUGAAAUUCUGUAAUCCUAGGGGGACCACCAGUGGCGAAGGCGUCUAACUAGAACGGGUCUGACGGUGAGGGACGAAGCCCUGGGGCGCAAACGGGAUUAGAUACCCCUGUAGU